UGGGGAAUUUUGGACAAUGGGGGCAACCCUGAUCCAGCCAUGCCGCGUGAGUGAAGAAGGCCUUCGGGUUGUAAAGCUCUUUCGGCGGGGAAGAAAUGGCAACGGCUAAUAUCCGUUGUUGAUGACGGUACCCGCAUAAGAAGCACCGGCUAACUACGUGCCAGCAGCCGCGGUAAUACGUAGGGUGCGAGCGUUAAUCGGAAUUACUGGGCGUAAAGCGUGCGCAGGCGGUUUUGUAAGACAGAUGUGAAAUCCCCGGGCUUAACCUGGGAACUGCGUUUGUGACUGCAAGGCUGGAGUACGGCAGAGGGGGGUGGAAUUCCACGUGUAGCAGUGAAAUGCGUAGAGAUGUGGAGGAACACCGAUGGCGAAGGCAGCCCCCUGGGCCUGUACUGACGCUCAUGCACGAAAGCGUGGGGAGCAAACA
rnacentral:rRNA from 1 species